rnacentral:misc_RNA from 1 species
CCGAUAUUAGCGAACCUGACCUUUUGUGGGUCAUGGUCUCGCGAAAAUUGUAUUUAAAACCCCACUCUUAAUAAAAAGAUAUUGAAUCGUUUUUAUAAGUAAAUAAAUAAAUGA